AACGAACGCUGGCGGCGUGGAUAAGACAUGCAAGUCGAACGGGAACUCUUUUGGUAGCAAUACCGGGAGAGUUCUAGUGGCGAACGGGUGCGUAAACACGUGGGCAAAUCUGCCGAGAAAGUGGGGGAUAGCUCGCCGAAAGGCGAAUUAAUACCGCAUGUGAUGAGAGGCGACAUCGCUUCGAAAUCAAAGCCGGGGGCAACCUGGCGCUUUUUUGAGGAGCCCGCGGCCUAUCAGCUUGUUGGUGAGGUAACGGCUCACCAAGGCUUUGACGGGUAGCUGGUCUGAGAGGACGACCAGUCACACUGGAACUGAGACACGGUCCAGACACCUACGGGUGGCAGCAGUCGAGAAUUUUUUCUCAAUGGGGGCAACCCUGAAAGGAGCGACGCCGCGUGGAGGAUGAAAGGUCUUCGGGUUGU
rnacentral:rRNA from 1 species